GAUGAAGAACGUAGCGAAAUGCGAUACUUGGUGUGAAUUGCAGAAUCCCGUGAACCUUCGAGUCUUUGAACGCAAGUUGCGCCCGAAGCCAUUAGGCCGAGGGCACGCCUGCCUGGGUGUCACACGUCGUUGCCCCCCCAUCUACUCCUUCGGGAUUGCGGGGGGCGGAUGAUGGCCUCCCGUGCGCCUCGUCGCGCGGUUGGCAUAAAUGCCAAGUCCUCGGCGACGCACGCCACGACAAUCGGUGGUUGCGAAACCUCGGUUGCCCGUCGUGUGCGGUCGUCGCGCAUCGAGGGCUCGAAAAAAUUGCCGGGCUCCGGCUCGGCUUUCAACGCGACCCCAGGUCAGGCGGGGUUACCCGCUGAAUUUAAGCAUAUCAAUAAGCGGAGGA
rnacentral:misc_RNA from 1 species